UCUUCUUACAUCAUCUACCAAAUGGGUCAUAGACUCUGGUGCCACAGCUCAUAUGACAGGAUCGUGUGACGAAGAAGAUUAUUGGUAGAGGAUAUGAGUCAGGAGGCCUUUAUCUCUUUGAUCAUCAAGUAUCGCAAGCUGUGGCGUGUCCUGUCGUUCCCUCUCCUUUUGAAGUCCAUUGUCGUUUAGGUCAUCCAUCUUUGUUCGUGUUGAAGAAACUUUAUCCAGAAUUUAGGUCUUUGUCCUCUUUAAAUUGUGAUUCGUGUCAAUUUGCGAAAUUUCAUCGUCUUAGUUCGAGUCCUCGAGUCGAUAAACGAGCAAUUGCUCCAUUUGAGUUACUUCAUUCUGAUAUUUGGGGUCCGUGUCCAGUUGUAUCUCAAACAGGCUUUCGUUAUUUUGUUACUUUUGUUGACGAUCAUUCUCGUCUAACUUGGUUAUAUUUAAUGAAAAAUCGUUCUGAGUUAUUAUCUCA